rnacentral:rRNA from 1 species
GACGUAGGGGGCGAGCGUUAUUCGGAAUCAUUGAGCGUAAAGCGCUCGUAGGCGGGAAGGCAAGUCCGUGUUGAAAGACCCCGGCUCAACUGGGGACCGGCUCGGAUACUGUUUUUCUUGAGGCAAUCAGAGGGUGAUGGAAUUCCCGGUGUAGCGGUGAAAUGCGUAGAGAUCGGGAGGAACAUCAGUGGCGAAGGCGGCCAUCUGGGACAACACUGACGCUGAGGCACGAAAGCGUGGGGAGCAAACAGG